GGGACAUUGGUAAUUAAUGAUUAUGCAAGUCUGUGGGCAUGUGGCAUCAUGUUUGUGUACCAGCGGUGUAGUUAUCAGAACAAGUUGUUUGACGGAUUUUCUACGAAGGAGUUCCUGUUCAUUUGAAUGCCAUGCUCUGUUGCUGAUGCAUUAGCCAUGACUUGUACAUUUCUAUGGCAGUGAAACAAGUCAAAUGCCACAAGUUCCUGACAGCAACGUUGAUUACAGCUGACCUACUCCUGCCCUCAUGAAAUCUGGAAAGAAGUUUUCUACUUAAUCAUGAAUUGGAGCAACCUGAGGUCCUUUAUUCCAGUAUGGAUCCUGUAUCUUUACUGUAUGUACAAAUCGAAUUUAAGUUUGCACAAUACAUCUC